CCGGGAACCCCGAACAUCCCCUUUCUCUACUCUUUCCCUUUGGAGUCUAUAGAGGGAGAAGCAGAGCCUAAGGCUUCAUCAGUUUGAAUACUGGCUGGGGCUGGGCAAGUUAGUGGCUCAAAGUGUUGAAUCUGUCCCUAAAGCAGGGACAGAAAUGGAGGCUCAGGAGGUAGAGGUGGCAGUGGGCGUGCAGGAGAAGCUGUAGGUCAGGAGGUAGAGGUGGCAGUGGGCGUGCAGGAGAACUGUAGGUCAGAGUGGAGAGGUGGCAGUGGGCGUGCAGGAGAAGCUGUAGGUCAGGAGGUAGAGGUGGCAGUGGGCGUGCAGGAGAAGGUGUAGGUCGGGGGGUAGAGGUGGCAGUGGGCGUGCAGGAGAAGCUGUAGGUCGGGAGGUAGAGGUGGCAGUGGGCGUGCAGGAGAAGCUGUAGGUCGGAGAGGGUGCAGAGUGGAGAACAGAUGAGCUGGAGUCACACCAUGCCCUAUACCCAGCCAGAGGCCGAAGUGAGCCUGUCACGGUAAUGCCACUGCCUGCUUGAUUCCCUCCCAUGCCUAGCCUGGGUUCUUCAUGAUCCCUGAGGCCCUCUUUGAUGUCAUCCCGCUGCCUCAAAACCUGUGUGUGCUGGUGGCUCCCUCUGCUUUCCUUCCAGAUGACUCCUUCGCUUCAGCUCAAAUGUCACCUUUGGCUGUUAAAAUCCUUUCCGGAGGAAGUUGUAAACAAUGCCUACCCCUCCUCCCGAGGUCUCUGAUUCCACUCCAGGGAAGAUUGCUCUGGGGGAGCCAAUGAGUUUGUUGGGAUUACUUCCAGAGCAUAGGUGAGGGGUUAGUUACUUGAAUAUGAGUGCUGCCCACCAAAAGACCGCACUGAAAAGUCUUUACCCAGCAGGGGUGAUGGU
rnacentral:lncRNA from 1 species